ACAAGCGGUGGAGCACGUGGUUUAAUUCGAUGAUACGCGAGGAACCCUUACCUGGGCUCAAAUGUAUGUUGACGUAUUCUGAAAGGGAUACUUCUUCGGACAAUAUACAAGGUGCUGCAUGGUUGUCGUCAGCUCGUGCCGUGAGGUGUCGGGUUAAGUCCCAUAACGAGCGCAACCCCUAUCAUUAGUUGCCAUCAGGUCAAGCUGGGGACUCUAAUGAAACUGCCUACGCAAGUAGUGAGGAAGGUGGGGAUGACGUCAAGUCAUCAUGGCCCUUAUGUCCAGGGCGACACACGUGCUACAAUGGCCGGCACAGCGGGAAGCGAGGCAGUGAUGCCAAGCGGAUCCCUUAAAGCCGGUCUCAGUUCGGAUUGCAGUCUGCAACUCGACUGCAUGAAGUUGGAAUCGCUAGUAAUCGUGGAUCAGCCAAGCCGCGGUGAAUACGUUCCCGGGCCUU
rnacentral:rRNA from 1 species